AUACGGAGGGUGCAAGCGUUAUCCGGAUUUAUUGGGUUUAAAGGGUGCGUAGGCGGUACGUUAAGUCAGUGGUGAAAUUUUUCGGCUCAACCGGAACAUUGCCGUUGAUACUGGCGUGCUAGAAUAUGGUUGCUGUGAGUAGAAUGUGUGGUGUAGCGGUGAAAUGCAUAGAUAUCACACAGAAUACCGAUUGCGAAGGCAUCUCACAAAGCCAUUAUUGACGCUGAGGCACGAAAGUGUGGGGAUCAAACAGGAUUAGAUACCCUGGUAGUCCACACUGUAAACGAUGAUAACUAGCUGUUGGCGAUAUACCGUCAGUGGUCAAGCGAAAGCGAUAAGUUAUCCACCUGGGGAGUACGACCGCAAGGUUGAA
rnacentral:rRNA from 1 species